AGAUUAAGCCAUGCAUGUCUAAGUAUAAAUAAAUUUAUAUGGUGAAACUGCGAAUGGCUCAUUAAAUCAGUUAUGAUGUACGUGAUAAAUUCUUACUACUUGGAUAACCGUGGUAAUUCUAGAGCUAAUACAUGCAAAAAAGCCUCGACUUCGGAAGGGGUGCACUUAUUAGAUUAAACCAACGCUGGGGUAAAAUCCAGAUUUCUUUGGUGAUUCAUAAUAAUUAAGCGGAUCGCAU
rnacentral:rRNA from 1 species